rnacentral:lncRNA from 1 species
UUGUUCCCCGGUUUCGGUUUCAUCCGACCGGCAUCCGACUCCGGCGACGCUCCAUCUCCUCGGAAGUUGUUGUCCGGCUUUUGACUCUGGCGACGUUGACUAGUCCUCCGGUGACGUCGGCCGGCUUGCUCUCCAGUCUUUUAUGGAGUUUUUUUUCUGUUAGUUUGAGAAAGAAGAACUCUCUCUCUUUUCUCUUCAAAAUCUUUCAGAGAGAGGUACGGGCUUUGACUCUGGCAACCGGUGGCUCACAAAGCACCGAGUUGGCCGGGUAUCGACUCUGGCAAGCGGUGGCUCCCAAAGCAUCGACUUGGCUGGCUUGUAACUUGAGAUUCAUCACUCAUCUCUGAUGAAUUUCAAUGAUGUUUCGUCCGGUUCAUCCGGCUUUUUAAUUUUCUCUACGUUUUAUACUUUCAAUCUUUUCUUUGGUUUUCCAUAUCAAAUCGGUUUUGCUGAGUUAUUAUUUGGAAGCUGUGAUCUUUCUCCUAUUAUUGGAUUGUUCCACCUUCACGCUUAUUCUUAUCAUUAAAGGUGGCCUUUUUAAAUUUGUUAGAUUCACAGCUUCUUUUGUUUUCGUUGGAACUUGGUGAGACCGAUUUGAUUUUCAAUGAAGAGAUGGUGCGGUUCAUAGCUCUACCACUUUUGAGCUUUAGUUGUUCUUGGAUGUUCUAUUCUUGAGCUUCCUGUUCCGGUGAGUAUCCGGUGGAUCUCCGGUUAGAAAUCCGGCAACGGCUUGGAAAUUGGUGAAGAAAGAGAUGACUCUGCUCUUCCGCCACGCGUCCGUCUACCGCUUACGUUUGACACGUUGGCUGUGAGCUGUCUUGAGCCUCUUUCUCUGUUGGAGUUUUAUAUGGCCUUUGCGGUUAGGCUUUAGUUGUUUGUACGUUUG